AUACAGAGGGUGCAAGCGUUAAUCGGAAUUACUGGGCGUAAAGCGCGCGUAGGCGGUUUAAUCAGUCGGAUGUGAAAGCCCCGGGCUCAACCUGGGAACUGCAUUCGAUACUGUUAAGCUAGAGUAUGGUAGAGGGAAGUGGAAUUCCAGGUGUAGCGGUGAAAUGCGUAGAUAUCUGGAGGAACAUCAGUGGCGAAGGCGACUUCCUGGACCAAUACUGACGCUGAGGUGCGAAAGCGUGGGGAGCAAACAGGAUUAGAUACCCCAGUAGUCC
rnacentral:rRNA from 1 species